AUGUAACAGAAAAGACUAUAUACACAAACUGAGCCUAUGCUCUCCACCAGGGGUUGGAAUAUAGGCAUUCAUUUAGAUGUCCACCAUCCCCAAUAAUCUUUAGGUGAGAAUUGAAUAUCUAACAGAUUCUAAAGCAUUUCAUCAAACAGCGGCACGGCAUCAAGCAGAAAAAAAAAUUAUCCAGCCACAUGAAAGCUGUGCUCUAGCCAUAGGCCCAUUAGACCGGAACAGUGGUCAUUUUGGGGGGUGGGGGGGUGCAGAAGAAGACAUGCUCCAGCAGACAAGACCGAUCCGAUAAUAAUCCUAUGAAUCCUUGACAUCAUGGCCAUCACCGCACACCAUCAACAAACACCAAUGGAAAGAUGACACAUCCUUCACAACCACCAAUGAGCACCAAUGUUCGCUUGCCAUGAUCUAGUACCUCUUCUUCAAUACUUUUCGG
rnacentral:lncRNA from 1 species